rnacentral:rRNA from 1 species
GUCCAGACUUUGAUCAUGGCUCAGGAUGAACGCUGGCGGCGUGCCUAACACAUGCAAGUCGAACGGAAUUUACAUGAAGCCUAGCGAUUGUAAAUUUAGUGGCGGACGGGUGAGUAACGCGUGGGUAACCUGCCUUGUACUGGGGGACAACAGUUGGAAACGACUGCUAAUACCGCAUAAGCGCACAGCUUCGCAUGAAGCAGUGUGAAAAACUCCGGUGGUACAAGAUGGACCCGCGUCUGAUUAGCUGGUUGGUGAGGUAACGGCCCACCAAGGCGACGAUCAGUAGCCGGCCUGAGAGGGUGAACGGCCACAUUGGGACUGAGACACGGCCCAAACUCCUACGGGAGGCAGCAGUGGGGAAUAUUGCACAAUGGGGGAAACCCUGAUGCAGCAACGCCGCGUGAGUGAAGAAGUAUUUCGGUAUGUAAAGCUCUGUCAGCAGGAAAGAAAAUGACGGUACCUGACUAAGAAGCCCCGGCUAACUACGUGCCAGCAGCCGCGGUAAUACGUAGGGGGCAAGCGUUAUCCGGAUUUACUGGGUGUAAAGGGAGCGUAGACGGUUUUGCAAGUCUGAAGUGAAAGCCCGGGGCUUAACCCCGGGACUGCUUUGGAAACUGUAGGACUAGAGUGCAGGAGAGGUAAGUGGAAUUCCUAGUGUAGCGGUGAAAUGCGUAGAUAUUAGGAGGAACACCAGUGGCGAAGGCGGCUUACUGGACUGUAACUGACGUUGAGGCUCGAAAGCGUGGGGAGCAAACAGGAUUAGAUACCCUGGUAGUCCACGCCGUAAACGAUGAUUACUAGGUGUUGGUGGGUAUGACCCAUCGGUGCCGCAGCAAACGCAAUAAGUAAUCCACCUGGGGAGUACGUUCGCAAGAAUGCAACUCAAAUGAA